ncrna:unclassified sequences pemK RNA
AUAAUGAUACUUCCGUAAUUCGCGGUCCGGCCACAAUGAAGACGGGAAGGUGUAAGUUCUAUGA